AAGUGCCCUGUGAAACAGAGGGCAACUGGGAACAGAGUGGAAAGAGGGUGGAAUCCAGCGCCUAGACUAAGGGAUGGGAGAGGACUCUUUGUCUUCCCCAAGGAACUCUCAUAGGAGAUUUCCACCAGCUGCAAGUGCUCUGUGUAGCGGAAGGACAUUCAGCGUGAAGGACCCAGUGAUAAAGCCUCUCCGUUACUCCUAGCCUAGGACCUGCAACUUGACCUUGGGUCAGACUGGCUGGCUUACACAAGUGGUUGAGUGUAGGAGCGGAGAGAAAAGAGACCCUGACACACGUUUCUACAAUUCUGAGUUGGUUGGUGGGUUGGUUUUCAUUACUGAGCAAGAGGACAAAGCAAAGGGGCGAUGGGAACUGUAAGUCUUGUGUACAUUCUUCCUUUUGUUAAACGGUGCUGUUCCCUGGACUGUGAG
rnacentral:lncRNA from 1 species